rnacentral:rRNA from 1 species
GAUGAACGCUAGCUACAGGCUUAACACAUGCAAGUCGAGGGGCAUCAGGAAGAAAGCUUGCUUUCUUUGCUGGCGACCGGCGCACGGGUGAGUAACACGUAUCCAACCUGCCCUUUACUCGGGGAUAGCCUUUCGAAAGAAAGAUUAAUACCCGAUAGCAUAAUGAUUCCGCAUGGUUUCAUUAUUAAAGGAUUCCGGUAAAGGAUGGGGAUGCGUUCCAUUAGGUUGUUGGUGAGGUAACGGCCCACCAAGCCUUCGAUGGAUAGGGGUUCUGAGAGGAAGGUCCCCCACAUUGGAACUGAGACACGGUCCAAACUCCUACGGGAGGCAGCAGUGAGGAAUAUUGGUCAAUGGGCGCUAGCCUGAACCAGCCAAGUAGCGUGAAGGAUGAAGGCUCUAUGGGUCGUAAACUUCUUUUAUAUAAGAAUAAAGUGCAGUAUGUAUACUGUUUUGUAUGUAUUAUAUGAAUAAGGAUCGGCUAACUCCGUGCCAGCAGCCGCGGUAAUACGGAGGAUCCGAGCGUUAUCCGGAUUUAUUGGGUUUAAAGGGAGCGUAGGUGGACUGGUAAGUCAGUUGUGAAAGUUUGCGGCUCAACCGUAAAAUUGCAGUUGAUACUGUCAGUCUUGAGUACAGUAGAGGUGGGCGGAAUUCGUGGUGUAGCGGUGAAAUGCUUAGAUAUCACGAAGAACUCCGAUUGCGAAGGCAGCUCACUGGACUGCAACUGACACUGAUGCUCGAAAGUGUGGGUAUCAAACAGGAUUAGAUACCCUGGUAGUCCACACAGUAAACGAUGAAUACUCGCUGUUUGCGAUAUACAGUAAGCGGCCAAGCGAAAGCAUUAAGUAUUCCACCUGGGGAGUACGCCGGCAACGGUGAAACUCAAAGGAAUUGACGGGGGCCCGCACAAGCGGAGGAACAUGUGGUUUAAUUCGAUGAUACGCGAGGAACCUUACCCGGGCUUAAAUUGCAGUGGAAUGAUGUGGAAACAUGUCAGUGAGCAAUCACCGCUGUGAAGGUGCUGCAUGGUUGUCGUCAGCUCGUGCCGUGAGGUGUCGGCUUAAGUGCCAUAACGAGCGCAACCCUUAUCUUUAGUUACUAACAGGUUAUGCUGAGGACUCUAGAGAGACUGCCGUCGUAAGAUGUGAGGAAGGUGGGGAUGACGUCAAAUCAGCACGGCCCUUACGUCCGGGGCUACACACGUGUUACAAUGGGGGGUACAGAAGGCAGCUAGCGGGUGACCGUAUGCUAAUCCCAAAAUCCUCUCUCAGUUCGGAUCGAAGUCUGCAACCCGACUUCGUGAAGCUGGAUUCGCUAGUAAUCGCGCAUCAGCCACGGCGCGGUGAAUACGUUCCCGGGCCUUGUACACACCGCCCGUCAAGCCAUGGGAGCCGGGGGUACCUGAAGUACGUAACCGCAAGGAUCGUCCUAGGGUAAAACUGG